CCCCUAGUCGCUGUACCCUACCGUGGUUAGCUGCCUCCUUGCGGUUAGCGCACUACCUUCGGGUAAAACCAACUCCCAUGGUGUGACGGGCGGUGUGUACAAGGCCCGGGAACGUAUUCACCGCAGCAUGCUGAUCUGCGAUUACUAGCGAUUCCAACUUCAUGCACUCGAGUUGCAGAGUGCAAUCCGAACUGAGAUGGCUUUUGGAGAUUAGCUCGACAUCGCUGUCUCGCUGCCUCUACGUGUGCACCACCAUUGU
rnacentral:rRNA from 1 species